UAGCACCAACGGAAAUCAGGUUAAAAACCGGCGCGAUUGUCCUUUUACUUUUUUUUUAGAAAUGUGCAAAUUCUUGUCAAAUACAUUUACUGAAUAAUGUUCCUUUAACAGGGUUUAUACGGGAAGUUCAUUUCAAUACCUUUUCAAGACUUUUCUCAAUACUUUUUAAUACCUCACACCAACUGGGAGUUGUAACCAUUGACAUCAGCGACAUGUUUAACUUAACAGUUUUAGUUUAUGAUAAAGAUAUAAACCACUAUCACACAACAGAAUCCAAAUAGGCUCAGAAAAUGAAUCAAAAACACAUGUUUAGUGUAUAAAAAACACUGGCAAACGCGCCCUUAGCAGUCUAGUUUUUAAUAAGUUAAUAAAUUCACACACUUUCAAUGUUUUUGGACUCAAAGUCAACACUUACCUCAAAAAUAUCUUUAAAUAUUUAGACCUCAUAAAGUCAUAAAGCCAUAAAGACCUCAUAAAGUGGUGAUAAGGGUCUUAAUUUAUGUGUGCACUAGAAAUGUCCUCCAAGAUUAAAUUAAAAACACAAGACAAAAAAAAACACUUCCUCUGUGUGAAGACAACACCCACACAUAUAUGUGGGUUUUGUUCUCGGAGUUCGUCAUGUGCAAAGAGGAAGGAAGCUGCAUAAAAGAUGUGUGUGUGUGUUUAACCGAGAGGCUUCGAGAACGUUUGCUGCUGCGUCAACGGGUUAAAAGCUGCCGAAAGAGGAAGGAAACCGAGUUUUGAUGUAUGUGUGUGAAUGUGUGUGUGUGUGUGUGUGUAUAUGUGUAUGUGUACGUGUGUAUAUGUGUGUGUGUGUGUGUGUGUGUGUGUGUGUGUGUGUGUUCUACAGAAAACAGUGAAGGCUGCAGACUCAGGUUGAUCGGGGCACAGUGGGAGGGAAGGAAGGAAGGAAGGAAGGAAGGAAGGAAGGAAGGAAAGAGGGAAGGAAGGAAGGAAAGAAGGAAGGAAGGAAAGAAGGAAGGAAUAUCAAACACAGGUGAAAGCACUAACAGCUCUAACAGAAAACAGACACCGACGUUACAUUGGUGACGGAUUCUUACUGCUAUUAGACACAACUAACAGUGUGAAAAUACACAAAACUUCAAAUGUUAACGUGGAGCUUUGGUGAGAGUUAAGAAAACUUGAAAUCUUUUCUGUGUGAAAGCCAAUGGAAACCAAUGGAAGCUAAUGGAAG